UGGGGUCGCAAAGACUCGGACACGACUGAGCGACUGAAUUGAACUGAACUGAACUGUGGGCGCAAUGAAACGGUGUACUCCAGUCAGCCUCGUCAAUAAAGAUGAUACCUUGUACCUCUGGCUGCCUGAUUCAUGCAUUGACGUCUCAGUGGGUUUAGAAUGUGGAAGGGCCAAGAAGGGAGCAAUUAAUUAUCGCCCCGUAAACUCCCAACAUGUUAUUUUCUCAUCAGAACACUUCAGAGGUGGGCAGGAAAGCUGACAUGUGGGGGCUGAAAUAACACAUGGAGAUCAGAUUUCUGGUGUAGUCAGGACUUUAGGCUGAAAGGUAAUUGUAGGUCAAGUGGAUUCUUGACCUGGACAGUUACGGUUGUAGUGGGGACCUGAAUACGAGAGCCUCUGGGGCAGGCAGGCCUUGACCUAACCCCUGUGAGUAUAGCUUUGACCUCAGUGGGUGGCUGGGACAGGGAUUACGUUACUGGGAAAACAGCCUGUCUGUUCCAGGGAAGGCUUACUUUAAAGAGGACAGAGCUUUAGCUUUGCUCUCUUGGGUAGACGAUUUUUGCUUCUUGUAUUAUGUCUUUCGGCAAAGCUUCGGGCUGGAUUUUAAAUAGCAAAGGUGAUGAAAUUGUACAGAGUGAAGGGAGCUCUUGUUGGUGAGAUUGUAGCCUUUUUACAGCGUGAACCCAGGGAGUAGGUGGAAUCUGCGAAGCUGUUCUUCUAUAGGUCAUUUUGAACUUCAUUCAGGGUCAUGAGCAGAACCUGUGAAGGGAUGAAGGAACUCAUCUCUUGACUCCGUUUGGUACAUGCUGGCUUCUCAUAUGUGGCAGCUUCCAAGUGCAGAAUUCCAAAAAGCUGAAAUUGUCUUCAAUCCUCCCAACAUUGGCACAGACUAUAAGGAAUUGAGAAUGCCAAUAAUUCUAGGGAAACAGAUGGACAUUUUAAAUCACAAACAUUUACGCACAACCCAAAAGCUGCAGUUUGGGACAAAAUAUGGAAAUAGAUCUUGGCCCUUCUUUGUGUCCUUCUAUCUUAAUGAGGGAACCUGCCAAGACCAUGGGAGAAGGGAGGGAGAAAGGAUCCUUUAGGUUGAAAGAUGAAAAAAAACUGGCAGAAAUGGGUCACCUGCGAAAUGAAAAGUUUCAGUGUUUUCAAGGUUUGCAAAAUGGAUCUCAGUUGACACAGCCCUCAUUUUGACUGUGUAAGAUGUCAUAAAAUUACUUCUGAACCACCUAUAGAGUGUUUUUGUUUGAAAGGGGAUGGUGAGAUCAUUUCCCAAGCAAUACACACAAGAAUGUUAGAACUGAAGGGCACUUUAUCAAAAUUUAAUCCAACAGCCUAAAAAUUCAAAGCAGCAAAUAGGACAAUGUGAUUGACAGAUAUUAAGGAAUAGAAAAGAAAGUGGAGACCUGGAAGUCAAGAGAAGAUUUAAAAACAAGUCAUCCUGGAUUUAGAAGUCAAACUACCGCACAGUUGCACUCAUCUCACACGCUAGCAAAGUAAUGCU
rnacentral:lncRNA from 1 species